AGGAAACGAAAAACCUUCACUUGAAGAUAUAAUAGUGUUGAUCGAUGUCAUAAGAGAAAGGGAACUGGACAAAGGGGGAUCUAGUGCAAAUGAAACUCCUUUAGAAGAAAAUCAACGACUAAAGAAAAUCGUUUUCUGCAUGAGAUGCGGCAAGAACAAUGUCAAUGCAUUGUUUUUACCAUGUACACAUCAUGAACUGUGCAUGACAUGUGCUGGACCUUUAAACGAAUGUCCUGUAUGUCAUAGGGGCAUAAGAGAGAAAAUCCGUACUUACAUGGCCUAAGGCAAGACUUUCAAAUACUGUUAUUGUCAUAUAGCGUUGUUGCAUUGUUUUGCAGUGUUUUUCAAGCAAAAUAAUGGUUAUUUGUAUCACUUGUAUGAUAUGUGUUGACCCUCUAACGGAAAUCCGUCUGUCUGGUAUGAAAUGUUAUGCUCAAGUUUAUCAAACCAGACCAUACAAUAUUCAUCAUUGGUUUGCAGUAUAACAAUAAAUAAAGCAAAAAAGAAUGAAUAUCCCAUGUUUAAAGACACGCUCCAAAAGCGCAACCUCUCCAAACCGCACCAAGCGGACGUGCUCAUGAUCAGUAAAACACACACACACACACGCACACGCACAUACACACACACACAAACACACUUGAAAACUUGUAAUUGUCGCAACCAGUAACAUUUAUUUUUGCACUUCAAACAGCAGAACAAUUUUACACCUACUGGAUAUUUCACAUCUAGUGCUGCGAUAGUCUUGUGGUUCUGUAUUGCUCAUUUAACAUGCUCACUGGUAGAAGAACAGAAAUACUGUUUUCGAAAUUCGGAGUCUCUGCUUUCUUUAUAAUUGACAUUAUACUGCAGGCAUAUGUUGACCUAUACCUUUUACAUUGUAUGAGUGUAAAAAAAAAAUAAAACCAGGGAUGACUUAGAGAAAAGGUUAUUUAUACUGUUUCUGAAACAGUUGAGGAAAAAAGCAAAGUUAUAAACUGAUAAUCAACAUAAAUUAGCAUUUGUGUGGCAUUAAAUUUCAUUUCAAUAAUACACUUUAUAUUUUAUGCUUAUUGUUUAUCUGUAGGAAACUUAUUGAUCCUGUUUAAUUUAACAACAAUUUGUUUACUCUUUUUAUUCCUUAUGAUAAAUAUGUUAUAGAAGGGCUUCAUCCUCGGGAAAUGAUAUUACGGAAACACACGCAUUAUCUCUACACUAAAAUGUAAAUGAUUAGUUGUUAGUUGUCAAUUUAAAUAACAUUUCUCAAUCAGCGCGGCCUCUGGAACAGCCACUGGAGCUACAUCAUAUACCACCUUGGUAAAUUUAUCCAUACCUAAGAUUGUUGCCAAAGUUGUUUUCAAAUUCAAGCCCUACUGAACUCAGAACCGCACCUUGUACUGGUCAUUCUUGCCGCCUGUUUCUGAUGGUUACGAAAUUGCCUUGGACAACUAACGACGGCAAUUUUGAUAUCAACGUAAUAUAAAAGAGAAUACGUGGGCUGCCAUCUGCGCCAUUCCUAAAAUGUCGCAGAUCAGAUCAAACGUAAGGGUUGUUUACACUUGAUAUAGUGUAGUACUUCCUGAUGAACUCGAAAAAUGAAAUUUGAUCUGUAAAUUUCGUUUACUGGUAGAAUAAUUGAAUGAAUCGAGUAAUUAAACAAUUACGUAAACGACAUUUUUGACAACAAAUAAGUUUCAUGUAUCCUAGCAUAUUUUAUAUACUCGUUCCAGUCAUAUAUUGUACAUAAUAAUAAACACCGUAGAAAACUACAACUGGAUUUUGAAAGAAUUCCAGUUGUAAUUUGAAACGCCUUAAUGUCGGACAUUUAAGUGCCUGCCUUAACAUGUUCUACUAGAUGAUUUUCAAUAAUGUGUUAUUCAGUUUCAUGGAUGUCAUGACUGUGGCAUGUAAAUAACCCUUUAUUUCAUGACGAUUACAUAUAAGACAGCAUAUUUUAUUUGCAAUAUGGGCGUCAAUAACAUAAUUAUGUAGCAUUGACUUACAUGAACGAGUUCAAUAACUGAACGAUUUAUGAAUCAUUAAUAUGAUACGAUACAUAUAUCUGUUAUACAUGUUUCUCAGUUAACUAAAGUGUUUGUUAACAUGCUUCAAAUGAGGGUGACUACACAUUUCUGCAAUAUGUCGAAUGAUUCAAAAUCACUUUUGUUAAAUUACUCCAAAUAAUGAAUUAAUAAUCACAUGAAGACAAAAUAUAUACAUCAUAAACUAUAAUCUUGUCAAAUUUUCAAAGUACACACUUCUAGACCUAGAAUAAAUUGGGGAAAUAAUGGUAUAAAUAAUUAUAUCGUAUUUUUAAGUUUAUCUUACCAACACUUACAAUUCGACAUCGGUGUCAAAGUCAAAGUUACGUAAUGAAAAUGACGAAUAGUCAUAUUUCCUCUUUCUACUUUUCAAAUUGUUUCACACACGAUGUAGAAUGAAGAAACAAAAGACAGUCACAUUUUUGGAAUAUGUGACACCCAUAUUGUUGGAGUUGAGUGCACAUACAAUAGGAAUGCUCCGAUUUGGAAUGUCAAUACCAGAGCCACGAUUUAUUAUUUGUCUUUUAUUGGUUACAAACCAUGAACGGAAAUUAUUCAAAAUUCCAGAAAACGUAAUAAGCGUGGAAAUUUGGGGAAUUAAAACAUAAUUCCAUUAUUUUAAACGUUAGGCAUCACAUCACUUUACGUUACUUAAGUCGGUACAGAUGUUAAUACAUGUUUCUGUCAAUGGUUUUGCUACUAAAAGUUUCUAACAUGGUAAUAAAUUUGUAAAUUCUGCAGGACAUGUCUAUUUGUUAUUAGUUGCAAGUCAGACUUCAACUUUGAAAUUGUGUGUAACUGCAAGUUACAAGGUAUGUACUUUGAACAUUUGACAAAUGAAUGUGAUUUUUUCCAGAGAUCGAUUUCUUUGUACACAGGUGUCUUACUUGUAUUGUCAAUUCUAUAAUUUCGUUUGGUAAACAAAUUAACUUUCUAUCUUUA
rnacentral:lncRNA from 1 species